CGAUUUUCCCCUUAAAAAACUAGAACGGAAUCCGCUAACCCAGUGAUCUCAAUUCCUUAAUGAAUCUUCCUUUUCCUUCAAUCUUCAUUUAUCUAAUCAAGAUUUUGAUUCCGUUUGGGAAUUGAUGUUCCUUACUUCACCAGAGAAUCACUGAUUUCGCUAUAUAUAUCAGUUUCACCCCCUUUCUUUUUUCCAUCCAUUGACAAGAACGAAGG
rnacentral:misc_RNA from 1 species